CAGUCGCCGCGGUAAUACGUAGGGUGCGAGCGUUAAUCGGAAUUACUGGGCGUAAAGCGUGCGCAGGCGGUUGUGUAAGACAGGUGUGAAAUCCCCGGGCUUAACCUGGGAACUGCGCUUGUGACUGCACAGCUAGAGUAUGGCAGAGGGGGGUGGAAUUCCGCGUGUAGCAGUGAAAUGCGUAGAGAUGUGGAGGAACACCAACGGCGAAAGCACUCUGCUGGGCCGACACUGACACUGAGAGACGAAAGCUAGGGGAGCAAAUGGGAUUAGAUACCCCCGUAGUCCCUGUCUCUUAUAC
rnacentral:rRNA from 1 species